rnacentral:rRNA from 1 species
CACGUAGGGUGCGAGCGUUGUCCGGAAUUAUUGGGCGUAAAGAGCUCGUAGGCGGUGUGUCGCGUCGGCCGUGAAAACCUGCAGCUUAACUGUGGGCGUGCGGUCGAUACGGGCAUCACUGGAGUUCGGCAGGGGAGACUGGAAUUCCUGGUGUAGCGGUGAAAUGCGCAGAUAUCAGGAGGAACACCGGUGGCGAAGGCGGGUCUCUGGGCCAAUACUGACGCUGAGGUGCGAAAGCGUGGGGAGCAAACAGG